GGAUCCUUAACCCUCUGAGCGAGGCCAGGGAUCAAACCAGCAACCUCUUGGUUACUAGUCGGAUUCGUUUCCAUUGCACCACAAUGGAAACUCCCAAGGGGGAAUUUCAAGAGGGAGCCAGAAGACCAGGUGACUGCUGGCUAGGAGGACAGCUGGCAGAGCUGUGCACCGAAUCCCAGAGCUGGCCUUGGCAGUCCCUGCACCUUCAUCAGGUCCUGGAAUCUGUCCUUGGACAAGGAAGAGAGGAACUUGCAUGUCCACAAGCCUGGUCCCCGCCCUGGGCCAUAGCCGGUAAUGCAUUGAGCAGCCCUGCUCCUGGCACCCCUGGAAGCCCCCAGGGAGCAUCAGAAGGCAAAAGUCCAAGACUGUGCCCUUGGGCAACUCCAGCAACCGGCGGAUUUCUCGAAGCUUGAGCACACACUUCCCUUCCAGAGUCUCAACUUCUCUCUCCGUAUGAGUCAGCUGGCGCUGCGGGAAGGGAACUCCACAGACAAGUUCAACAAUAGCAAUUACUCUCUCCCAGUCCCAGAGGCUGAAGGUCCAAGAUUUCAGUGUCAGCAGUUUCUUCCUUGGCUUGGAGACGCUGCCCCGUAUUUGGUCCUGACGUGGUCCUUCUCUGUGUGCCCGUGGGUCUAAAACUGUGUCCACAUUCCCUCUUUUAAGGACACCAGUCAGAUUGCAUCAGGACCCACCCUGACUGCCACCUUUUACCUUAGUCGCCUCUUAAAGGCUGGGUCUCCGAGUCCAGCCCAUCCUGAGGUCCUGGGGGUUAGCACUUCAACAUACACAUUUGGGGACAGGAUUCCACCGAUAACACUCUGGAGUUCUAAUCUCAACCCUUUCAGAAGGCAGAGACAUGUCAGAGUCAGCAGACUGUUUUAUUUUUGGCUGCCCCACAGCAUAUGGAGUUGCCGGGCCAGGGAUCAGAUCCAAGGUGUAGUUGUGACCCACACUGCAGCUGCGGCA